rnacentral:rRNA from 1 species
AUUGAACGCUGGCGGCAGGCCUAACACAUGCAAGUCGAGCGGAUGAAGGGAGCUUGCUCCUGGAUUCAGCUGCGGACGGGUGAGUAAUGCCUAGGAAUCUGCCUGGUAGUGGGGGAUAACGUCCGGAAACGGGCGCUAAUACCGCAUACGUCCUGAGGGAGAAAGUUGGGGAUCUUCGGACCUCACGCUAUCAGAUGAGCCUAGGUCGGAUUAGCUAGUUGGUGGGGUAAAGGCCUACCAAGGCGACGAUCCGUAACUGGUCUGAGAGGAUGAUCAGUCAAACUGGAAGUGAGACACGGUCCAGACUCCUACGGGAGGCAGCAGUGGGGAAUAUUGGACAAUGGGCGAAAGCAUGAUCCAGCAAUGCCGAGUGUGUGAAGAAGGUCUUCGGAUUGUAAAGCACUUUAAGUUGGGAGGAAGGGAAGUAAGUUAAUACCUUGCUGUUUUGACGUUACCAACAGAAUAAGCACCGGCUAACUUCGUG